AUAUUGCAAAAUGGGCGAAAGCCCGAUGCAGCAACGCCGCGUGGGCGAUGAAGGCCUUCGGGUCGUAAAGCUCUUUUUGAGGGGAUGAGGAAGGACAGUACCCUCAGAAUAAGCCUCGGCUAACUACGUGCCAGCAGCCGCGGUAAAACGUAGGAGGCGAGCGUUAUCCGGAUUUACUGUGCGUAAAGCGCGUGCAGGCGGAUUGGAGAGUUGGAUGUUAAAGCUCACGGCUUAACUGGGAGAGGUCGUUCAAUACUUCCAGUCUUGAGUGCAGUAGAGGGAAGUGGAAUUCCGGGUGUAGUGGUGAAAUGCGUAGAUAUACGGAGGAACACCAGUGGAGAAAGCGGCUUCCUGGACUGUAACUGACGCUCAGACGCGAAAGCUAGGGUAGCAAACG
rnacentral:rRNA from 1 species